rnacentral:rRNA from 1 species
UACGUAGGGCGCAAGCGUUGUCCGGAAUUAUUGGGCGUAAAGAGCUCGUAGGCGGUCUGUCGCGUCGGAUGUGAAAGCCCGGGGCUUAACCCCGGGUCUGCAUUCGAUACGGGCAGACUAGAGUGUGGUAGGGGAGAUCGGAAUUCCUGGUGUAGCGGUGAAAUGCGCAGAUAUCAGGAGGAACACCGAUGGCGAAGGCAGGUCUCUGGGCCAUAACUGACGCUGAGAAGCGAAAGCAUGGGGAGCGAACAGG